CUGCAACAAAAAAAAGGAUCACUGGGACGGAUGGGAUGACAGGUUGCAUCUGCAGACGAGGCUCUUAAGGAUUAAGUUAGAAAGAAAAGAGUCAAUCGGAUCUCCAUCUCUCCGUUACCCCCGGGCUGUGAGUGCUGGGCCCCCGCGUCUCGUACCUCUUCCUAUCUGACAUGUAAAAUCUGCAAACGCUGCGGUGUAAGGCUCGAAGGGAUUUUCUGCGGGGCGCAUGCGCUGCUGCCUUACAAGCGUCCAAGCACACCCCUUGUUUUCUUUGGGACCAGGCGGGACCAGGUCCGACACGCUUUGGUGCGCAUGCCCUAAUGACACACACUCUAUUGGCUAUUGUCCACCUUCAGAUGAGGUGCAGAGAUGAAUUCAGGAGAUCCCAAUACUCUCCUCCUCCCAUGGCAAAUCUUACACUCAUUAUCUAUGAAUCACAUCCUCAAAUCAAUGGGUUUUUCCUAAAACCCCAAUAUACCAUAUAUUAUCUGUACUAUAAAGUUAAAACAUCACUUCAACAGCAUCUUUCAAUGACUUGAACCUCUUAAGUUGAAGAAAAGCCAACUAAAUUGAAGCACUGAGAUCAAUUAUCAUCUCCUGGAAUCCACAUCCCACUUUUGGAAAGACAGUCACAGAAUAAAAUAAAGACCAUAAGCUGGUAAUAAAUAUAGAUAUCUUUAAUUGCAUUUCAUUAGUUUAAGAAUGCCACAAGUUAUAAAUACCACAAAUCUGGUUUCAACAUGCCAAACCUUUUCCAAGACAUAUAACAGGUUUAUUACUAAGUACAGUCUUCCAUUUCAAAGGACACACAUUUCAAAUAAAAGCAUUUCUUAAAAUUCGUUUUUAAAAUACUAAGUAGUAUAAGGCUUGGCUAUUAUAGCAAAGACCACAGGGUUAGUGCCAAAAUGCUAAAAGUUAAGAAGGGACAAAUUAAAGGAUGCAUUCCACAAAACAAUAUGAAAAGAAGUUCUGUGUGUGAUAAAAUUGUAAAGUUGCAGAAAAUGUGUAUGGUUGUUGCCGGCUAAUAAUCUUUUUUCAAGAUGUGCAAGGAUGUCAGUGAUAGUUUUGUCUCAGUUUCUUGUUUGGUGUGAAACAACUAAUUUGUUAUAAUACAUCAUGUGCCACUUCAAGUCCACAGAAGCUUGACCUUAACAUAAAAAUUCAACAAAAAAUCUACUUAACCAAUAGCAAGUCAGUUUAGGUCAUUUUAGAUCAGGUGGGCUCUUCCUUACACGUAAAAACAAAACAGAAACACUCACGGUGCUACAAUAUUGCAUUAAUUUAACAAAAAAAGAUGGAAGAAUUAAAUGUUUAUUACCAUCCAUGAACACAGGAGGGCUUAACAUGCAUUACCUAGUGUUUUU